CUCAGGACGAACGCUGGCGGCGUGCCUAAUACAUGCAAGUCGAGCGGACAGAUGGGAGCUUGCUCCCUGAUGUUAGCGGCGGACGGGUGAGUAACACGUGGGUAACCUGCCUGUAAGACUGGGAUAACUCCGGGAAACCGGGGCUAAUACCGGAUGCUUGUUUGAACCGCAUGGUUCAAACAUAAAAGGUGGCUUCGGCUACCACUUACAGAUGGACCCGCGGCGCAUUAGCUAGUUGGUGAGGUAAUGGCUCACCAAGGCAACGAUGCGUAGCCGACCUGAGAGGGUGAUCGGCCACACUGGGACUGAGACACGGCCCAGACUCCUACGGGAGGCAGCAGUAGGGAAUCUUCCGCAAUGGACGAAAGUCUGACGGAGCAACGCCGCGUGAGUGAUGAAGGUUUUCGGAUCGUAAAGCUCUGUUGUUAGGGAAGAACAAGUACCGUUCGAAUAGGGCGGUACCUUGACGGUACCUAACCAGAAAGCCACGGCUAACUACGUGCCAGCAGCCGCGGUAAUACGUAGGUGGCAAGCGUUGUCCGGAAUUAUUGGGCGUAAAGGGCUCGCAGGCGGUUUCUUAAGUCUGAUGUGAAAGCCCCCGGCUCAACCGGGGAGGGUCAUUGGAAACUGGGGAACUUGAGUGCAGAAGAGGAGAGUGGAAUUCCACGUGUAGCGGUGAAAUGCGUAGAGAUGUGGAGGAACACCAGUGGCGAAGGCGACUCUCUGGUCUGUAACUGACGCUGAGGAGCGAAAGCGUGGGGAGCGAACAGGAUUAGAUACCCUGGUAGUCCACGCCGUAAACGAUGAGUGCUAAGUGUUAGGGGGUUUCCGCCCCUUAGUGCUGCAGCUAACGCAUUAAGCACUCCGCCUGGGGAGUACGGUCGCAAGACUGAAACUCAAAGGAAUUGACGGGGGCCCGCACAAGCGGUGGAGCAUGUGGUUUAAUUCGAAGCAACGCGAAGAACCUUACCAGGUCUUGACAUCCUCUGACAAUCCUAGAGAUAGGACGUCCCCUUCGGGGGCAGAGUGACAGGUGGUGCAUGGUUGUCGUCAGCUCGUGUCGUGAGAUGUUGGGUUAAGUCCCGCAACGAGCGCAACCCUUGAUCUUAGUUGCCAGCAUUCAGUUGGGCACUCUAAGGUGACUGCCGGUGACAAACCGGAGGAAGGUGGGGAUGACGUCAAAUCAUCAUGCCCCUUAUGACCUGGGCUACACACGUGCUACAAUGGACAGAACAAAGGGCAGCGAAACCGCGAGGUUAAGCCAAUCCCACAAAUCUGUUCUCAGUUCGGAUCGCAGUCUGCAACUCGACUGCGUGAAGCUGGAAUCGCUAGUAAUCGCGGAUCAGCAUGCCGCGGGGGAAUACGUUCCCGGGCCUUGUACACACCGCCCGUCACACCACGAAGAGUUUGUAACACCCGAAGUCGGUGAGGUAACCUUUUAGGAGCCAGCCGCCGAAAGUGGGACAGAUGAUUGGGGUGAG
rnacentral:rRNA from 1 species